ACAUUCGAGCAUGACGCGGGAGCUAUGAGUUCCACAGCUGCGUCGACGUUAAAAUUUUCAAUCUAUGUGAACCAUUCAUUGAGCACAAGUGCGGGAUAUCACGCGUUCAACGUCUAAUCAAGCAUGAGCUCUGCGAUGAGAGAGCCGGUGAAUAUUGAAUUCUCGGAGUCUACAGAGUUUGAACGGUGGCAACCUCGUCAAAAGGAAAUCAACCAGGCGGACCUACCGGCAUCUUUAGUGAUUGAAGAUGACCUUCACUCUCACUGAUACCCCAGCUUCCAAUCGACACUGUGAUAAUUUAAGUAGUACUGUUCAAGAGUCAGUGAAGGGCAGCAGUAGGAAAUGAAGAUAGUACAAUGCCCAGUACAGUUUCCUUCACCUACACCAGCACAGAGCCAAAGUCCAGUGAUGGCUUGGAACUUGAGAGCUUCUCUUUUGACGGAAGCAUAAGCAAUGACCCUAUGGCAAAUGACAUGGCUAAGUGCUCACGCCGAGCUCCACAAGCUGCUGAGCCAUCUUAUCCUUUUCCUGUAUUUCCCAAUGUUCCUGACUUGCAGACGGAAUAUCUCGAGCAAUAGUUGCUAGUCAGUCAAAUAGAUGCAGGUCAAGUACGAAUCCACAAAAUUUAAGUCUAGGUGUAUACCAGGAUGAUAGGAAGCACUGUGUUCGGCACUCUCAGCUUGCAUCUGACGAUUUUAAUGACUAUUACAUAAAAAUGCUGAGUGCUCAAAAGAAGCAGCCUCUGCAUUUGCGAGAGCCACCUCUCUGUAAUUCCUGCUCACAGUCAAUGAUUCAAUAUGUCUCUGCCAUCCAGACACUUAUCCAGCAACUCAGUGUAGACAUUAUUGUGAAGGGAAAAGACCCUCCAGACUGCAGCUGGUGUGCACGGGAGAAGCUUGCAUCCUUUCAAAAACACUUGGGCCCCAAAUUCAUUUGGAAGUGGCACUACAGGGGUGGCCGAUAGACUGGACCACAAGAAUGCUACGCAUCCUUCUUCGGGCUUGCAAAAUGAACAGGCACAUGUUGCUUCACCAGGAGCUCAAGCAUGGCAGGGGCCUGGAUCCUCUUGCCCAAUACCUGUACCAGAGCCCAAUUCAACUCCAGUAUCAAACAAGGGGCAUAUUGAAUUCUUGCAUUCCCAAGGUGUGCAGAACUUUCCAGACAGUGGAGUGUUCCCAAGUGAAGGCACUGUUCCAUUUCAUUACAUGGCUGCACCCAUUAGCAGUCUUGCUGUAAAGCCACCGAGUGAUGCCUUUCUUCCAACUGGUGUGAAGCAGCAGGACCUGCCUAAACAAGAUGAGUUGAGCCUUCGGCUCUGAACUCUCGGAAAUGCAACAAGUAAUUUCUCCAAAAAUGAGCUUGCUACCUGCAGCUUCGGAAUACAAUGGGGGUCGUUCGCCUUCUAAAAGUGAUGAGGUCAUAUUAAAUCCUCAUUACACUGAAAGUGGAGACCUCCAGAACUCAGUCAAGCAGCCAUCAGAGCUCCAGCUUCAUAACCUUGGGUCAAACUUCCAAGAAAAUCUGGCAAGCAAUGGGUUAUCUCUUGCAGAACACGGUGGGGCUAGACGAAAGCAGUCUCUCAGUUCAGAUUGGAUGACUGAUCUGAUUCAGCCACUUAUCCCAGAACCAGCAGUGCCAAGCGUACAAGAUCAA